CAGUCGGCGGUAAAACAGAGGAUGCAAGCGUUAUCCGGGAUGAUUGGGCGUAAAGCGUCUGUAGGUGGCUUUUCAAGUCCGCCGUCAAAUCCCAGGGCUCAACCCUGGACAGGCGGUGGAAACUACCAUGCUGGAGUACGGUAGGGGCAGAGGGAGUUUCCGGUGGAGCGGUGAAAUGCGUUGAGAUCGGAAAGAACACCAACGGCGAAAGCACUCUGCUGGGCCGACACUGACACUGAGAGACGAAAGCUAGGGGAGCAAAUGGGAUUAGAUACCCCAGUAGUCCCUGUCUCUUAUACAC
rnacentral:rRNA from 1 species